rnacentral:rRNA from 1 species
GUGUGUAGGUGGCGCGCUAAGUCGGGUGUGAAAUUUCGGAGCUUAACUCCGAAACUGCAUUCGAUACUGGCGUGCUUGAGGACUGGAGAGGAGACUGGAAUUUACGGCGUAGCAGUGAAAUGCGUAGAUAUCGUAAGGAAGACCAGUGGCGAAGGCGGGUCUCUGGACAGUUCCUGACACUGAGACACGAAGGCCAGGGGAGCAAACGGGAUUAGAUACCCCGGUAGUCCUGGCAGUAAACGGUGCACGUUUGGUGUGGGAGGAUUCGACCCCUUCUGCGCCGGAACUAACGCGUUAAACCUGCCGCCUGGGGAGUACGGUCGCAAGAUUAAAACUCAAAGAAAUUGA